CCCCUGCACUCCCGACCCUCCCCAGCCCGCCCUGGACUCCUGGAGAACGCACCCUUGUUAAAUCCAGUGUUCCCUUCGAUUUGUUUUAAGCAUCAUUUGGUACGCAGUCUGCCUCCAAGAACACUUGACUUAUUUCUGUGUAAUCACUGGAGAGGCUUCAAGCACUACAAAAGGAGUAAGGAAAACAUCAUCUUCCUCACCAGGGAACGCUGGAAGUGCCCGGUUCCAGGAAGCCUGAGGACACCCGUGCAGAAGCAAGGCUUUUCCAGUGGCAUUCCGGGAAGACAAGCAGAACCCUGGCAGCUCUGGAAGGGGAUUGAGUCCAUCCAUCUGGCCUUUGGGAAGGUGCUGCACCCCCACCGGGCUCCCACACCGAGCACACGCUGGCCAGGCAGCAGUGAACCCGGCAGUGACGCCCUGACUCCUGGGAACUCACCUUCUCGUGGGGGAGACCGGCGAUUUACAAGGAAACAAUCACACAACAUCAUUGCAGGUAGAAAAGCAAGCGGGAGCGGGGGAGCAGCGGGGACGGAGGCAGGAGGCGUGGGAGGGAGACUGCUGCUCACCCACAGGAUCAGGGAGGUGACUUGACCUCUGCAUACGGGGUAGGAGCCAGGCAUGGAGACAUCUGGGGGAGAAGCAGUCCAAGAAAAGGGGCCUGCGAGGGGGCGAUAAGAGAUGCAGGUAGCGAGAUAGCCAGGGGCAGCCCUUGUCCCAGUUCAAUGUCAUGGCUGCCGUUUGACAGAAGAAACAGAGGGUCCAGGAGCUCACAGGGUUUGCCAAGACCACUCAGCCAAUGUGUACCAGCUGAAGCCAGGCGCCUGACUUCGAGAGGCAUCAUUCUUGCCUCCCCUCCAUAGGGCACACAGACCUACAUCUGUGUGGCCAGCUGUGGGUGAAAAUCCAGAAGGGACUGAUUUUUUUUUUUUAAUUUUUUUUUUUAACAUUUAUUUAUUUUUGAGACAGAGAGAGACAGAGCAUGAACGGGGGAGGGGCAGAGAGAGAGAAAGACACAGAAUUGGAAGCAGGCUCCAGGCUCUGAGCCAUCAGCCCAGAGCCUGACGCGGGGCUCGAACUCACAGACCGUGAGAUCGUGACCUGAGCUGAAGUCGGACGCUCAACCGACUGAGCCACCCAGGUGCCCCAGAAGGGACUGAUUUUAGAAAGUUCAUGCCAUGCAGGUACGGCCUGGUGUGUGACAGCCCCAGGGGAUCUGGGAUAGCACACAGCAAUUAAACAUUUGAACAUUGCUCACCGCACUUAAACACAUUAGUAUGUCGACAGUCAAACAUACUAAUCUUCAUGGUCAGUGGGCUAAGUAAGAAUUAUGAAGAGCCUCUGUUCAGGCGAGGUUUUGACAUCAAAUUCAGGCCACAUUUGGUGCCAAAUUAGUGACCCAAAUCAAUCAACAACUUUCGGUUUUCAGAGCCCUUAGGAUUUCCACUCAAAGCAUCAGGGGCACAGUGUUAUAACCUCUGAAAUGACACUCUGUGAAGACAGGGGUAGAGAAGCCAGCUGGAAACGAGGUCACCCACAUUCGCACGGUGGCGAGGCCCAGACCAUGGGAAGAGCGGCCAGGGCAGCCCAGCGC
rnacentral:lncRNA from 1 species